GGAGAGCUUAAAGCCAGAUUCCUUCCUCUUCCAAAAUAUUUUUCUCAAAUUUCAAUCAACAACCAUGCCCUUUACUAUAUCAUCACCGGUGGUAUAAGUUUUUUUGGCACUAACUUUAGUGAAGGGAUUCAGCAAGCUCCAUGGAAAUUUAUAUUUCUAUCAUAUCUAAUUUGGUGUAUUGGUCGAAAAUUUUUUACAUGGAUCCUGAUCUUGUUAAUUAUUGGAAGAUAUGAAUGGAAACUAUUUCAAUUAAUUACUUUGAACAUCUGUUUCCUGUAAUACCUACCCUCUGCCUCCUGCUUUUCAGAAUGUAUUUAGAUGUUGGUUAAAUAUGUUAGUUAUGCAAAAUUGCAAAUAAUUGUUGGUUAAAGAUGUUUAAAUUUUUUUAUAGAUUGUUGGCUCUCAGCUGAUCAACUGAAUUUGUGUGGUUAAGUGGUUUAAUGUCCGAGAUUUAGAGGUUAAAGGUCCUACAAGUGUACAAAGCAUGCCUUUCCUUUUCACUGGCUGCAUUUAUAUCUUGUCUCAUGUGGCUUGAUAUUCAUUCUAAUCUCAGUUACAAUGAGGAAACAUUUGUUAAUUCUUCCUACUUAUUUUAGCCAUUCAUGUAUUUGUCCGUGAGCAUGUGUAUUUUUGUUCUCUUUGUUUUGAGUAGAAUUGUUGGUCAAAUCCUGGCCUCCAAAUUUCUUAAGAUGCCAGUUACUGUAGUUGAUUACGACCCAUCGAAUGGCAAGUGGAAUAUCAUUCAACAACAAAAUAUGCUUUAUGAAAGAACAAGAAUUUUGAAUGGCUCUGCCUCUUCUAUGAGUGUUGCCAACCGGUCCUUGGAUAAUCUAAACUUUGGAUCUUCAAGUGAAAGUCAAAUCUGAAGAUGAUAACUUGUGGAAUGACCUUGCAGAGUUUUAUACUUGUGAACGUUAUAAUGUCUCUUCUUAUGAUGGAGUUUCAAUUCCUCUUAACUAUCAUACAUUCACGCAAACAUAACUAUGCAUAUCAAAACCCUGGGUUGCUUCAUGGGCAUGGAGCUUAUGGGCAUGGAGCUUAGGGUGAGUUACUUGACAAAAGAUGGUGUAGUGAGUUGAAAAGCCUUCUUGAUCGUGGCUGGGUUAUUGCAUAUGCCAAUCUUAGGUCUGUUUCUGCUACACUACUACUAUUUGUUAGUUUUUUUCGUUUCAACUUGUGUUCACAAAGUAUUUUAAAUUCCUGUUCUGAAAUGUCUACCAUUUGCUUAUAGUUAUUUAAACUUUAGAAGUCUAUAGAAUAUGUUAAGCAUUAUAGCUUACAUAAGAAGUGGCAUCAUAAUGGCAGAAGCACAAAGAAACUUAAUUCCAUCAAAGAUUCUCUCUCCUCUGCCUAAUUUCCUAUUGAAAAAAAAAUUGCAAGAAAAAAAGAUUGCCAGCUGGGGAUAAAGGGCUCGAGGACUUUUGGUUGCUUCAGCCAUCAACUGUUGCCCAGAUUUAUUUCGUGCUGCAUAUUUGUCUCCGUUUAUGUUUCUAUCAUUUGUUUUUUUGCUGUGGAUGAAGGUUCGCUACUUUUAUGUUCUUCUCCAAGUUUCUUGACAUUUUUUAUAAAAGAAGGAACCAAUAGGAGGAAUUAUUUAAUGAUUACAGUAAAAUGAAACACUGAAAUGGAAUUAUUUUCAAUAUAUUCAUUUGUGAAACAUUGCAUUUUACCGCUUACUGCAGCUGAAUUUGAAGAGUUUGAAUACCCAGGGGAACGAGGACAUCAAUAUUUUUCAUGCCACAAGGAAAUAUCUUCUAUAUAUGACAAUGUUCAGAAGAAUGUCCUUUACCCUCCUAUACUGAUAACCUCAUCUUUUAACACACGGUAGGACUUAAAUAUGGCAGGGAGGUACUGAGGUUUCUCCUGAUAUUCGAAAUUUAUCAGCUGUCCUUUCUUCUAUUUGGUAACUUCGUAGCGAAGGGGGAGAUUCAUCUUUGCAAAAGAGCAAUCUUUAAGAUCUUAAUCAACCUCUAAUUGCCAACCAGGCUCCAAUCUGGAGCUAAAGCAUUGGCAUCAUAUCAUUUUCUCACCCCAUUUAAAUUAUAUGCAAUCAAACUUGGUGGUUGUGGUGUUUCACGGAUUAGGAAUCGACUUCGUGAGAAUAUGGCUGAUCUGUCCCAUUUUGCCCUAAAGCUGCCAAUGGAAUCAGGACAGAAGAACUUCAGAUUGUACAGGAAAAGCAGACCUCAAUUUGCUGGUGAUGAGUUGCUUUGGCAUAUUAGAUUGUAAGUUUGUUAUUUGUGUGUAUUAAUAUAAUCCCUUAUUAUUAUAAAACUUAAGAAAGUAAAAUUUUGAUUUUUCCUUAUCUUUUGAUAAUACCUUAUAAAAAUUUGGG